CUGAGAGCUGGGAGAGAGACAGCUGUCUGAAAGCAGGUGUCACUGUUCUGAGGACUGCAUGAGUGCCGGAGACAAAUGCAUCUGUGAGGUGGCAGAGAGUGAGACACGUGUUGUUCUGGCGUACGUGGGUUCUGCAAUCUGAUAUUGAAUACUGUAUCCUGCAUCAUCAACACGGAUUCAUCAUGGCCUACAGCACACGCACGCACACACAUACAUGCCAGUCUGGAGCUCCUUCACUCUGGACAAAACCGCUGAAAGUUCUCUGGUUGUCUCUGAUUGUCUCCGGGCAGACGUCAGGAUUCCAGCCAAUCAGAGCACGACAUGUGACCAGUACAACAAUGCUGGCAACAUCACACAUGCCUUCUUGUUCCCACCCUGGGUGUGUGUGUGUGCGUGUGUGUGUGUGUGUGUGUGUGUGUGUGUGUGUCUUACUGUGAAAAUUUCAUCGAUGCAUUUUAAUAUUUUACCUUUUUUUGGACCUGGUAACAUAUUAAUUAGAAUGUCAUAACUGGAUCUUCUCUCUAUGCUUGAUUUCUCCAAUUAUUUAGCACUUUUAAACUCCACCCCUUGAAGCUUACAUGUUUUAACAUCCAAUUGACAACUGAUAAUUAGAAUUAAGUCAUGCACUAAAUAUAUUCUUUUUAGUGCUGUCAAACGAUUAAUCGUGAUUAAUCGCAUCCAAAAUAAAAGUUUUUGUUUACAUAAUAUAUGUGUAUAC
ensembl:lncRNA